UACAGAGGGUGCAAGCGUUAAUCGGAAUUACUGGCGUAAAGCGUGCGUAGCCGGUUAUUUAAGUCGGAUGUGAAAUCCCCGGGCUCAACCUGGGAAUUGCAUUCGAUACUGGGUAGCUAGAGUUCGGCAGAGGGAAGCGGAAUUUCGGGUGUAGCGGUGAAAUGCGUAGAUAUUGGGAAGAACACCUGAGGCGAAGGCGGGUUGCUGGGCUGAUACUGACGCUGAGGCGCGAAAGCCAGGGGAGCAAACGGG
rnacentral:rRNA from 1 species